rnacentral:pre_miRNA from 1 species
AGUAGGAUAGCUGAGUUAAAUGGUAGUUCCAUUCCAAGUUUCUAAGGACUCUCCAUACUGCUUUCCAGAGUGGUUGCACCAGUUUGCAGUCCCACCAGCAAU